GGCGGCGUAGCUUAGUUGGCUAGAGCGUUCGGUUCAUACCCGAGAGGUCGGUGGUUCGAGUCCACUCGCCGCUACCA
rnacentral:tRNA from 1 species